AAGAAGAAGAAUUAGUUCCGCCCCUGCAGGGAACAGGAAAUGGGGGGGGUGACUGGUUUUUGGUUGACGUGUCAUAUUCUACAACUUGUAUCAGCUAAAGUUUGUACAUACGAUACGAUGUAACUAACGUUCUACAACUACAAGAUAGCAACUCUGAACAGAAACUGCAUCAAUACUGAGAUUUGAAAGCACGUCUGACUAAACAAACUGAAGUAUACUGCUUCCUUCAGAGGCCAUUACAGAAUAUCGUGACAGGGUGGGAUUUCUUAAAGAAAAAGGCUUCCAAACAUUCUCUCCAAUAAGAUGAUUUAUCCUGUGUCAUCUUCAGGGAUUCCAUAGUCUUGUAGAGUAGCCACAUCCUCUGUAUAGACUGUCUGAAGGAAUUAUGGAGAUAAAAGGGCAUCUCGGGAAUGUCCCGUUUGUAGUAGAAGAUCCUCAAAGGCGGAACUCACAACUACAUUGAAGCCUUUACAGAUGAAGUUGAAGUUAAAGAAGUAAAACUAACCUGUGAUGAAACGGCAAAGUAAUUUAAGCUACAGGGCCAGGACACAGAGAGGCAGAUUGAGAAGGAGUUUGAGAAGCUUCACCAGUUACUUUGAGAGGACAAGGCAGCUAGAAUAGCUACUCUGAAGAAGGAAGAGAAGAAGAAUAGUGAGAUGAUUGAGGAGAUGAGCGGAGGGAUAUCGUCACUUUCAGACACACAGAGCCGUAGAGAAGGAGCUGAAAACAGAAGACAUCUCAUUCCUGCAUGCAAGAACCAAUAACUUGUUGAUAUUAUCUGAGAUACAUUUAUUGAUGAACUGAUUUGAUAUCAUGUAUUGCACUGUUUACAUUUAUUAUUAAUUUGGUAUUUUGUUCUUCUGCAGAACUAUAAGGCCACAGUGAAAAGAGUCCAGUGCACACUGACGAAUCCAGAGAAGGUUUCAGAACCACUGAUCCAUGUGGCCAAGCACCUUGGCAACCUACAUAGAUCAUGUGUGAAGAUACAGGAAAUUGUUAGAGGUUUUUCAAUAUAGUCUGACAGUCUACUUUCUGUCUAGCUGCUGUGACUCUGAACCCCAAGACUGCUCACCCAAGUGUCAUCCUAUCUGAGGAUUUGGCCAGUGUGAGAUUCGGUGUGGCUCAAAAGCUUCCUGACAUCACAGAGAGGUUUGAUUGUGCAUUUGUCCUGGAUUUUGAGGGCUUUAACUCAGGGACACACUUCUGGGAUGUUGAGGUUGGGGAAAACGCAUCAUGGGCUCUGGGUGUGAUCACAGAAUCUGUACAGAGGAAGGGGCGUAUAUGCAGUGGAUUAUAAUUCUGAAGGUGAAUACUCAGCAGAAUCCCCACCAAAGCCAACCAUUUCCCUCACAGUGAGACAGACACCCCAGAGGAUCAGAGUGAAGCUGGACUGGGACAGAGGAGAGCUGUCAUUCUCUGACCCUAUUAAUAAAAGACACCUACACACAAUCACACAAACUUUUAAUGAGACAGUCUUUCCUUGCUUUUGUAACUUCUCUAAACGGAAGCCUCUAAAGAUUGUGCCAUGACAGUGGAAAAAUAGUUAGAGCUGAUAAUGUUUCUUACCAUACAAUGUUGAAUCAACCACCUAGCUACUGCUUGAAAACAAGUUAAAAUAUUAUAGUGACUUGAUCGAUUUGAACUUAAUAUUAAAAAACGGACACCUAGUACUCUGCCCUGCGCCUUAAAGACAUAGUCAUUGAACACUAGUCACUAAUUAUGCUUACCUACUGUUUUACCCACUUCAUAUGUAUAUACUGUAUUCUAGUUAAGGCUCAUCCUAUAUAACUACUGCUGUACACACCUUUUCUAUUCAUAUACUGACUAUACACACCAUUAUUUUUUAUAUAUAUGUAUUGCGGACUCUGACAUUGCUCAUUCUGAUAUUGCUUAAGUUUUUGGGGGGGUGGGAUUUGUGUUUAUUGUAAGGUAUUAAUGCAUUGUUGGAGCUAGAAACAUAAGCAUUUUCCUGCACCUGCGAUAACAUCUGCAAAAUAUGUGUACGCCACCUAUAACAUUUGAUUUGAUUUAGUCUAAGCUUAGUGGAGGAUAACCAUGUUAUUUAUUUGUCUUAGAUAUGUUUGAUUUGUUAAUCAUUAGCUCUUAUUCUCUUAAGAAUACAGUUAUGUACAUGACUGCUGAUCAAUUACAUAUACAUACAAAGCCAUAAUGUAACUGUCAUUCCUUAUUCUAUGAUUAAAACAAAUACAUGCUA